GACGAACGCUGGCGGCGUGCUUAACACAUGCAAGUCGAACGCUGAAGACCUGGCUUUUGUUGGGUUGGAUGAGUGGCGAACGGGUGAGUAACACGUGAGUAACCUGCCCUCUUCUUUGGGAUAACGCCCGGAAACGGGUGCUAAUACUGGAUAUUCACUGGCCUUCGCAUGGGGGUUGGUGGAAAGGUUUGUUCUGGUGGGGGAUGGGCUCGCGGCCUAUCAGCUUGUUGGUGGGGUGAUGGCCUACCAAGGCUUUGACGGGUAGCCGGCCUGAGAGGGUGACCGGUCACAUUGGGACUGAGAUACGGCCCAGACUCCUACGGGAGGCAGCAGUGGGGAAUAUUGCACAAUGGGCGAAAGCCUGAUGCAGCGACGCCGCGUGAGGGAUGGAGGCCUUCGGGGUGUAAACCUCUUUCGCUCAUGGUCAAGCCGCAACUGUGGGUUGUGGUGAGGGUAGUGGGUAAAGAAGCGCCGGCUAACUACGUG
rnacentral:rRNA from 1 species